rnacentral:rRNA from 1 species
CCCGCACAAGCGGUGGAGCAUGUGGUUUAAUUCGACGCAACGCGAAGAACCUUACCUGGGCUCGAAAUGGAGUGGACCGGAGUAGAAAUAUUCCUUCUCCGCAAGGGGCCGCUCUAUAGGUGCUGCAUGGCUGUCGUCAGCUCGUGUCGUGAGAUGUUGGGUUAAGUCCCGCAACGAGCGCAACCCUUAUUACCAGUUGCCAUCAUUCAGUUGGGCACUCUGGUGAGACCGCCUCGGAUAACGGGGAGGAAGGCGGGGAUGACGUCAAGUCCUCAUGGCCUUUAUGUCCAGGGCUACACACGUGCUACAAUGGCUGGUACAAACCGUCGCAAACCCGCGAGGGGGAGCUAAUCGGAAAAAGCUGGCCUCAGUUCGGAUUGCAGUCUGCAACUCGACUGCAUGAAGCUGGAAUCGCUAGUAAUCGCGGAUCAGAACGCCGCGGUGAAUACGUUCCCGGGCCUUGUACACACCGCCCGUCACAUCACGAAAGUGGGUUGUACUAGAAGUCGGUGCGCUAACCGCAAGGGAGCAGCCGCCCAAGGUGUAAUUCAUGAUUGGGGUGAAGUCGUAACAAGGUAGCCGUAGGAGAACCUGCGGCUGGAUCACCUCCUU